AAGUCGAACGAUGAAACUUAAUUGAUCUCUUCGGAGUGAUUUUAAGUGGAUUAGUGGCGGACGGGUGAGUAACGCGUGAGUAACCUGCCUUAGAGAUGGGGAUAGCCUCUGGAAACGGAGAAUAAUACCCAAUGAUACCAAGCUAUCGCAUGGUAGCCUGGUCRAAGAUUUAUCGCUCUAAGAUGGACUUGCGUCUGAUUAGCUAGUUGGUGAGAUAAUGGCUCACCAAGGCAACGAUCAGUAGCCGGCUUGAGAGAGUGUACGGCCACAUUGGGACUGAGACACGGCCUAGACUCCUACGGGAGGCAGCAGUGGGGAAUUUUGCACRAUGGGGGAAACCCUGAUGCAGCGACGCCGCGUGAUUUAGAAGGCCUUCGGGUUGUAAAAAUCUUUUGUAUAGGAAGAAAAAUGACCUGUAC
rnacentral:rRNA from 1 species